rnacentral:rRNA from 1 species
ACGCUCGACACCUACGGGAGACAGCAGUAGGGAAUCUUCCACAAUGGGCGCAAGCCUGAUGGAGCAACACCGCGUGAGUGAAGAAGGGUUUCGGCUCGUAAAGCUCUGUUGUUGGAGAAGAACGUGCGUGAGAGUAACUGUUCACGCAGUGACGGUAUCCAACCAGAAAGUCACGGCUAACUACGUGCCAGCAGCCGCGGUAAUCUGAGCGGGCUGGCAAGGC